rnacentral:tRNA from 1 species
GCCACCGUAGCUCAAUCGGUAGAGCAGCUGAUUCGUAAUCAGCAGGUUAGCGGUUCGAUUCCGCUCGGUGGCU